rnacentral:rRNA from 1 species
AGUGAACGCUGGCGGCGUGCUUAAGACAUGCAAGUCGAACGGCAGUCUUCGGACUGUAGUGGCGCACGGGUGAGUAACGCGUAACUGACCUACCCCAAAGUCGCGGAUAACGAUUCGAAAGAAUCGCUAAUACGUGAUGUGCUGUCAGAUUGUGUUCUGCCAGUAAAGAUUGAUUGCUUUGGGAUGGGGUUGCGUUCCAUCAGCUAGUUGGUGAGGUAAGGGCCCACCAAGGCGACGACGGAUAGCCGGCCUGAGAGGGUGGCCGGCCACAGGGGCAAUGAGACACGGGUCCCACUCCUACGGGAGGCAGCAGUUAGGAAUCUUCCACAAUGGGCGAAAGCCAGAUGGAGCGACGCCGCGUGAGGGAUGAAGGUCUUCGGAUCGUAAACCUCUGAAUCAGGGACGAAAGACACUUCGGUGGGAUGACGGUACCUGAGUAAUAGCACCGGCUAACUCCGUGCCAGCAGCCGCGGUAAAAC